UACGAGGGGGGCGAGCGUUGUUCGGAAUUAUUGGGCGUAAAGGGUGCGUAGGCGGUUUGGUAAGUCUGAUGUGAAAUCUAUGGGCUCAACUCAUAGUCUGCAUCGGAAACUGCCGGGCUUGAGUGUGGGAGAGGUGAGUGGAAUUCCUGGUGUAGCGGUGAAAUACGUAGAUAUCAGGAGGAAUACCGGUGGCGAAGGCGGCUAUCUGGCCAUGUACUGACGCUGAGAUACGAAAGCGUGGGGAGCAAACAGG
rnacentral:rRNA from 1 species